rnacentral:rRNA from 1 species
UACGGAGGAUCCGAGCGUUAUCCGGAUUUAUUGGGUUUAAAGGGUGCGUAGGCGGCGAGUUAAGUCAGCGGUAAAAGCCCGGGGCUCAACCCCGGCCCGCCGUUGAAACUGGGGAUCUAGAGUGUGCGAGAGGUAUGCGGAAUGCGUGGUGUAGCGGUGAAAUGCAUAGAUAUCACGCAGAACCCCGAUUGCGAAGGCAGCAUACCGGUGCACAACUGACGCUCAGGCACGAAAGCGUGGGGAGCAAAUAGG